rnacentral:rRNA from 1 species
AAAUUGAAGAGUUUGAUCAUGGCUCAGAUUGAACGCUGGCGGCAGGCCUAACACAUGCAAGUCGAACGGUAACAGGAAGCAGCUUGCUGCUUCGCUGACGAGUGGCGGACGGGUGAGUAAUGUCUGGGAAACUGCCUGAUGGAGGGGGAUAACUACUGGAAACGGUAGCUAAUACCGCAUAAUGUCGCAAGACCAAAGAGGGGGACCUUCGGGCCUCUUGCCAUCGGAUGUGCCCAGAUGGGAUUAGCUUGUUGGUGGGGUAACGGCUCACCAAGGCGACGAUCCCUAGCUGGUCUGAGAGGAUGACCAGCCACACUGGAACUGAGACACGGUCCAGACUCCUACGGGAGGCAGCAGUGGGGAAUAUUGCACAAUGGGCGCAAGCCUGAUGCAGCCAUGCCGCGUGUAUGAAGAAGGCCUUCGGGUUGUAAAGUACUUUCAGCGGGGAGGAAGGGAGUAAAGUUAAUACCUUUACUCAUUGACGUUACCCGCAGAAGAAGCACCGGCUAACUCCGUGCCAGCAGCCGCGGUAAUACGGAGGGUGCAAGCGUUAAUCGGAAUUACUGGGCGUAAAGCGCACGCAGGCGGUUUGUUAAGUCAGAUGUGAAAUCCCCGGGCUCAACCUGGGAACUGCAUCUGAUACUGGCAAGCUUGAGUCUCGUAGAGGGGGGUAGAAUUCCAGGUGUAGCGGUGAAAUGCGUAGAGAUCUGGAGGAAUACCGGUGGCGAAGGCGGCCCCCUGGACGAAGACUGACGCUCAGGUGCGAAAGCGUGGGGAGCAAACAGGAUUAGAUACCCUGGUAGUCCACGCCGUAAACGAUGUCGACUUGGAGGUUGUGCCCUUGAGGCGUGGCUUCCGGAGCUAACGCGUUAAGUCGACCGCCUGGGGAGUACGGCCGCAAGGUUAAAACUCAAAUGAAUUGACGGGGGCCCGCACAAGCGGUGGAGCAUGUGGUUUAAUUCGAUGCAACGCGAAGAACCUUACCUGGUCUUGACAUCCACGGAAGUUUUCAGAGAUGAGAAUGUGCCUUCGGGAACCGUGAGACAGGUGCUGCAUGGCUGUCGUCAGCUCGUGUUGUGAAAUGUUGGGUUAAGUCCCGCAACGAGCGCAACCCUUAUCCUUUGUUGCCAGCGGUCCGGCCGGGAACUCAAAGGAGACUGCCAGUGAUAAACUGGAGGAAGGUGGGGAUGACGUCAAGUCAUCAUGGCCCUUACGACCAGGGCUACACACGUGCUACAAUGGCGCAUACAAAGAGAAGCGACCUCGCGAGAGCAAGCGGACCUCAUAAAGUGCGUCGUAGUCCGGAUUGGAGUCUGCAACUCGACUCCAUGAAGUCGGAAUCGCUAGUAAUCGUGGAUCAGAAUGCCACGGUGAAUACGUUCCCGGGCCUUGUACACACCGCCCGUCACACCAUGGGAGUGGGUUGCAAAAGAAGUAGGUAGCUUAACCUUCGGGAGGGCGCUUACCACUUUGUGAUUCAUGACUGGGGUGAAGUCGUAACAAGGUAACCGUAGGGGAACCUGCGGUUGGAUCACCUCCUUA